GGCCUCGUAGCUCAGUUGGCAGAGCAAUUGGACUAGUAUCCCAAAGGUCGCGGGUUCGAUUCCCACCGUGGUCA